ensembl:lncRNA
UUCUUGGUGGAGUUCCCUGCAUACCUGAGGUCUUCUUGGGGUGCCCUUUCUGAUGACUGGAAGAAAGAAUUUUGGAAACUACCAUAGUUAUCACUUUGCUGCUUCUAUUUCCCAAAUCCUGCUGCUGAUGAGACAGACAUCUCUGCUCUAAUAUGGCCAGUGCUAACUCUGGAAAGUAUGUUUGCCGCUUACGGUACACAGUGACCACCCCAGAGCCAGCACAGAGAAUCUCUGAAAAUAUACUGCGUUGUAUCGGUGGAAGUGCAGAGCUCAGUGGUUUCCCUUUAGUUCUGAUGGUGACUGUUUUGGGGUCUCAGGAAUUUUUUGUAAUGGAAGAUGUUUGUCCUAGAGAGAAGUUCAUGCAAGUAACAUUCCUCUUAAUCUCCACAUUUCUUUGCUUUUAUUGUUGAACAAAAGUACCAGUUGCUUAGAAAAUUGUCCCAGAUUUGCUUCUCCAAACCUCUCGGGAACUGAAUUUGAGUUCAUGCCCAGAGUGGAUAAGGAUUUCCCAGAAGCAUUUUAGUGGUCAGUCCAGUUGAAAGGCAAGAAUAAGUCUCUUCACACAUAUUCUUCCUUCUUAAGAUAUACAAAAUCUGUAUCUGGCAAACGCAGCGUCAGGUGAUGCAGUUUUAUGGCUGAACAUCAAGUACUUGGUACCAAUCAGUUCAGGAGAAUUUGGCUGGUAUUACUCAAGGUAAGAAUCUGCAUAACCUGUGUUAUUGGCUGGGCAUGAUGUUCAGUUUACACCAUCCUGUUACAUUUCCCAGAAAGAAGGUGGGUGUUACAGUCUAGUUAUCUUCAUUUAUUUCAGAGUUUACCAUUUUUUUUCAGACUAAUUUGACUAAACAGAAUCUGUUUAAAAGGAAAUGAUAGUGAUAGUAGAUUUUCCCCUAUUCUUGAUGUACCAGCAGAUCUUAUUUUGUUUCUCUUUGCAGAACUUUCAACUGCAAGUUCCUCUAUUUACAGAUUUGACACCUAAUUAAUAAUCAGAUUCAGAUUACAAUAUUAGUCUACCAGAUUGCAAUUUUCCA